UACAGGGGGUGCAAACGUUGCUCGGAAUCAUUGGGCGUAAAGCGCACGUAGGCGGUUCGUUAUGUCAGAUGUGAAAGCCCUUGGCUUAACCGAGGAAGUGCAUCCGAAACUGGCGAGCUAGAGUACGAAAGAGGAUCGCGGAAUUCCCGGUGUAGAGGUGAAAUUCGUAGAUAUCGGGAGGAACACCGGUGGCGAAGGCGGCUAUCUGGGUCGAUACUGACGCUGAGGAGCGAAGGCGUGGGGAGCGAACAGG
rnacentral:rRNA from 1 species